GAGUGAAGCACAUCCAUUCAGUCCCAAGGCCACUGUAAGCUACUGGCAGCAGAAAUGAUUUGCUAGAAAGAUAUCACUUGCAUUGGAGCUCUUGUUAACUGAAAAGGCCAUGGUGCUCCAAACUCAGGCCCGAGCAUGCUGCAGGGACGUUACCAUAGUAACUGAGCUUUGAGCUCACAGGGGUAUAAACCUGUUCCAGCAUGACAGUGCCCACGUGCACAAAGUGAGGUCCAUGAAGACAUGGUUUUCCAAGGUUGGAGUGGAAAACCUCAAGUAGUCUGCACAGAGUCCUGACCUCAACCCCACUGAACACCUUUGGGAUUAACUGGAACAUCAACUGCACCCCAGGCCUCCUCAAUAAACAUCAGUGCCUGACCACACUAAUGUACUAAUAAUCCCCACAGCCAUGAUCCAAAGCUUAUCCUAAAGCCUUCACAGAAGAGUAGAGGUUAUUAUUACAGCAAAGGGGAAAUGAGAUGUUUAAAAAGCACAUAUGAAUGUGAUGAUCAGAUGUCCACAAAUGUUUAGCUAUAUAGUGUAUAUCUGUAUGUUGAUUGAUCUAAUGGAAAUACAUGUAUUACAUGUAUAUACAGCGUAACUUGAUUAAAGGUAAGAGGUGCUACUUUGUUUACUGUUAAUAUUGUGAGCAGCAAUGUUUAUUUGAUUUCACUUGCUGAACUCAGGCUUGAGGAGACUGUGCCAGAGUUGAGGGAGAAUUUUCUGUUUUUUUUUUCUUAUUCUAAGGUCAAAAAUACAAAUUCUCUAGUCGAAUGCAGCAUGUGUGUAUUUGUUUCCUGUUCCAGCUCAUUACUCAAUAUAUUUAAACAGCUUACAUUCUGUGUUCCAUUGUAAAUUGUUAAACUAAAUCGCACUACACAACACAACACUACUGUGUGUACAAGAUGGCACCUCAUUACCAGAAUUUUAUACUUUUUCAGAAAUGAUAGAAUGCAAAGUCUCAUUCCUGUGUUCCUGUGCAUUAUUUCUCAGCCUAGUGUUUUAAUGUGUCUCUCAGUUUGUUUGACUUACAUCUAUGGAUUUGCCCUUAGAAAUAUUAUGCUAAGCAUCUGCUCUUGCUUCCUGCCUCCCACUUCCACACAUUAAAACUAUAGGUAAGCAAUAACAUCAUUGGCAAAUGAUUGGUAAAAGUACUGGAAGUGCAUCAUAUGGUCAGAUCAAAAUUGAAACUUUUAGCCAUUUAUACCAUCCUCAGAGUGGAGAAAAGCCUUCAUUAUUAUAGGUGGCAUCAGCAGUAAGGAAUGGGCCAUGGCAUUCUUCCACAUGAAUUUGUCCUUACCUACUUCUCAUUUAGCCAGAGAGUUUAAAGAGCCUGUCUUUUCAGGGUUCCCAUUGACCAUGAGGUUUGCACAAGUUGUGUGUUUGUUCUCCUGCCCAUAAACAGAAAAUAUAUUAUAGAAAAAUGUUAUUUGGGGGAAAGGGUCUGUGUAUGCACACAAAGCAAGACAUUUGUGCAAGAAUGAAAGAAAGAAAGAUUUCAAAUAGUUUAAGGUUGAAAAGACCUCAAU
ensembl:lncRNA